rnacentral:tRNA from 1 species
GAUCCAGCUGGAAAACGGGUCGCUUCCAUUGCUUACACCGAUGAGCGAAGUAGCAGGACGGAUGUCCGUUCAAAUCGGGGCUCAUUUUC